rnacentral:lncRNA from 1 species
CAGUCGGGCCGAUGAAGAGCAACAAAUGAAGCGCCAGCAGCAUACCCCAAUCCCGCUGCCAUUCAGGGUGAUGAUGGAGGGUGAAGAACAUGUCAGCGUAGGUGGCUUCCUCCCCUUUUCCCUCCCUCUGCAAAAACAACCUGAACUGCAGAAGAGUAUUGUAAUUCAAAGUGCCAUUGACAGGCCAUUUUUCACCACUUCCCAACUUGUAUUACAACCCCCACUGAUUACAAUACUUGAUUAAAGUUUUCUUGCUCA